rnacentral:lncRNA from 10 species
GGGCAACAUGGCAAAAGCCCUUCUCUACUGAGAGCCUCUGUUUGUUAAUUUGGGUUGACAAUGUGAAAAACUCAUCGUGGACACCACUUGCUUCAAUUCAGUUACCAUUCUUAUCAUCAAUGGGUAAAGUUUACAUACCAUAUAUGUCAAUGUGAAAUGCAUAAACCUUAAGUACAAAAUAUGAUGAAUUUUAAUUAAUGAACACACCCAUGUAACUACCACCCCAAUCAACAUAAAGGACAUUUAUUUCCUUCAUUCCAGAAAGUUUUAUUCCAUUCAAUUUCUACCCCCUUUAGGUAACACUGCUCUGAUUUCUAUUUCCACAGACUAGGUUAGCCUGUUCUUGAAAUUUAUAUAAAUGGAAUCAUAUGAUAUAUGGCCUUUUGUGCUUGGGUUCUUUUGCUCAAUGUUUUUGAGAUUUAGCUAUAUUGUUGCAUAUGACAAUAGUUUGUCCUUUUUCUUACUA